GUGCAGCAGGCGCGAAACCUCCGCAAUACACGAAAGUGUGACGGGGCCAUCCCGAGUGCCGUCCGCUGAGGACGGCUUUUCCCCAGUGUACAUAGCUGGGGGAAUAAGGAGAGGGCAAGCCUGGUGUCAGCCGGCCGCGGUAAUACCAGCUCUCCGAGUGGUGGGGACGCUUAUUGGGCCUAAAGCAUCCGUAGCCGGCUGGGCAAGUCCUCCGUUAAAUCCAACGAUUCAAUCGUUGGGCUGGCGGGGGAUACUGUCCAGCUU
rnacentral:rRNA from 1 species